AGUGAACGCUGGCGGUAGGCCUAACACAUGCAAGUCGAACGGCAGCACAGGAGAGCUUGCUCUCUGGGUGGCGAGUGGCGGACGGGUGAGGAAUACAUCGGAAUCUACUUUUUCGUGGGGGAUAACGUAGGGAAACUUACGCUAAUACCGCAUACGACCUACGGGUGAAAGCAGGGGACCUUCGGGCCUUGCGCGAUUGAAUGAGCCGAUGUCGGAUGAGCUAGUUGGUGGGGUAAAGGCUCACCAAGGCGACGAUCCGUAGCUGGUCUGAGAGGAUGAUCAGCCACACUGGAACUGAGACACGGUCCAGACUCCUACGGGAGGCAGCAGUGGGGAAUAUUGGACAAUGGGCGCAAGCCUGAUCCAGCCAUACCGCGUGGGUGAAGAAGGCCUUCGGGUUGUAAAGCCCUUUUGUUGGGAAAGAAAUCCAGCCGGCUAAUACCCGGUUGGGAUGACGGUACCCAAAGAAUAAGCACCGGCUAACUUCGUGCCAGCAGCCACAGUAA
rnacentral:rRNA from 1 species